rnacentral:rRNA from 1 species
GACGAACGCUGGCGGCGUGCCUAAUACAUGCAAGUCGAACGCUGAAGAGAGGAGCUUACUCUUCUUGGAUGAGUUGCGAACGGGUGAGUAACGCGUAGGUAACCUGCCUUGUAGCGGGGGAUAACUAUUGGAAACGAUAGCUAAUACCGCAUAACAAUGGAUGACACAUGUCAUUUAUUUGAAAGGGGCAAUUGCUCCACUACAAGAUGGACCUGCGUUGUAUUAGCUAGUAGGUGAGGUAAUGGCUCACCUAGGCGACGAUACAUAGCCGACCUGAGAGGGUGAUCGGCCACACUGGGACUGAGACACGGCCCAGACUCCUACGGGAGGCAGCAGUAGGGAAUCUUCGGCAAUGGGGGCAACCCUGACCGAGCAACGCCGCGUGAGUGAAGAAGGUUUUCGGAUCGUAAAGCUCUGUUGUAAGCCAAGAACGGGUGUGAGAGUGGAAAGUUCACACUGUGACGGUAGCUUACCAGAAAGGGACGGCUAACUACGUG